UACGUAGUGUGCGAGCGUUGUCCGGAAUCACUGGGCGUAAAGCGCACGUAGGCGGACUCUUAAGUCGGUGGUGAAAUCCUGGAGCUCAACUCCAGAACUGCCUUCGAUACUGAGAGUCUCGAGUCCGGGAGAGGUGAGUGGAACUGCGAGUGUAGAGGUGAAAUUCGUAGAUAUUCGCAAGAACACCAGUGGCGAAGGCGGCUCACUGGCCCGGUACUGACGCUGAGGUGCGAAAGCGUGGGGAGCAAACAGG
rnacentral:rRNA from 1 species